rnacentral:piRNA from 1 species
UUUGAAAGGAUGUCUGCCUAGGAGUGGAG